rnacentral:misc_RNA from 1 species
AAAAAAAAAAAAAAAAAAAAGUAGGCAAGGAGUUUGAAGCAUUAGUAUUUCUUUGAUAGAAAUCUAGAGAAUGGUUAAAACUGAAAAUAAAUUAUGAAAACAACUAAAAAUUGAAGGAAACACCAUUUUGUUAUCAUUAGACUUUUUAAUAAGACAAAAAGGGGGUUUCUUGGGGAUCUUUCAAUGGUCUAUAAUAUUCAAGCAUGGCUGUUAUAUUUUUUUAUCUAGUUAUGAGAGUUACAUUGCUUGUGAUAAUUCUUAUUGUAACAUACAUAAGCUAGAGUUUUGUUUUUUCUUGUAUUAUGUCUUGAAUUGAAUCUUUGAAAAAGCAAUAGGAGGAUUCAUUGUCAUGCUAAUAUAGUUUUGUGUGUGAUCUUUCAUGAACUCUAGUUAUGACAAAUAGAUGUACCAAAAUUUUGUUCAAAAAUUAAAUUUGAAUAAAGCAACUCUAGCACUCAUGGUGAUACUAAUGGAUUUUCUAUGUUGUAUUUGACAAAGUCUAGAUACAAGAUCUAGGUAUUAAAACUCUAUUCAACAUUUGAGCUAUAAACUUUUGAUCUAUAACCUAUCUAAAAUCUGACCUAAAAAGUCAGUUUUCCAAACAUUGAAAAAUAGAACUGAAAAAGAAUGGUCUCAUGUAUGUACCAUUGGACAAAACUAGAUCAACCACCCAAAUUCUCAAUUUUCUUUUUCUGAUGUCUGUCUAAGUCAUUCAUGUGGAAUCCCUAGCCCUAAUUUUGUUUUUCUUUUUGGCCUUUUAGCAGCAUUUUGUUUUUAUUAGGUUUUGAGAACCCCUGAAAAGUGUUUUUCACUAAUAUCUUAUGCUACUUUAUGGAGUUAUUCAAUUUCUAUAUCCACAAUAUCUCAAAAUUUCUUCCUUUUUUUUUUAUAAAUAUUUCCUUUAUUGGGAAAGAACAAAUUAAUUAUGUUAUACUUUUUGGUUUUUUUUUAGGGUAAAAAGUUGAACUUAACAUCAGCAAAGUGUAAACUAGCUAGGACUAAAAUCAUAAAUCUUUUUAUGUAGUGUAGUCUACACAGGUGCAAAUGAUUUGCAGCUAAAAGUAUUUUUUCAUUUUUCAACCCAAUUUAUUGGAAGCCCUUAAUUUUAAGCAUCAUCAAUUGUGUUUGGCACUUGCACACCAGUGAUGGCAUGCUUUUUAUUUCGGACUCAAGUCCAUGUAACUUCAACCUCUAUCAUUUUUUGCCAGUAUGAGUUCUGAUUUUUACUUUGAAUUAUGAACUUCUGCAGACAAUUCAUAAACAAUAAUUACGUGCAUCAAGCAUUUGAACGAUAAAUAUUAUAACAAUUUAUACCUUAUGUUCAUUUGAGCUACUCCAUAGUGUUGAGUUUGAAUUAAUGCUCCAUAUGUUGUUGAAGUGUCAAAAAAAAAAAAAAAAUUGAUGCUACAGCAUGUAGGUCUUUCUACAAAAAAAAAAAAAAAAAUGCAUGCAAAUAAUUAAGAUUUGCUAACAGUGGACUAAUUAACAAUAGUUACAUGUAUUAUGAGUCCUAUAAAAACUAAUGCAACCCGUGGUUUUGGAGAUAAAUUCAUUAUCAAGGCCAUCACUUACAUCAGAUUUUGAACCAAUAUUUUUCUUCCUUACACUUCAGUUCACAUGGAUUGAAUUCUAACUCAGCACAAGAGAUUAGCACAACCAAGAACAUUAGGGAUGAUAUUGUUACAGUGUUGAUUCUUAAAGUGCUGAUUGCAUUAAAUUGUUGUUCAUAAACAGCAUUAUAUAAGUGUAUAAAGAUAAGAAAAUAUAGAAUAAAGCUUUUUCUGCUGCAUGAAGAUUCAAAACAUUGACCUUUAAACUUUGAUAUAAAUCUCUCAUUAUAUUGUUAUCCAUAUAUGCGCAUUUUUUGCAUAGCUUAUUGGCCUCCCAUUGUCCUUAGCUAACUAUAUGCUUCUACAUGUGCACUCAUUUUUGUCUGAAUGUGCAUGCACAUUGGCCUAUAUACAUAUAUGUGCUCACACUUUGUUGUUACAUGUAAGUGUAUUGGCACAAUAAUUUGUAUUAUUAAGUAUAACUAGUCUAAUGGUGAUUCCAUAUUUGCUGGUUUGGCAUUUCAUGAUAACAUAGCAAGUUGGUUACAUAUUAUUUUUUAAGCCAUAAAUUUGCCCAGCUUUUCAUUCGCGAUAAUACUUGAUUUUAAUUGCUAGAAUUAGCAUAUUUAGUAUUGAUGCUGCCAGUGAUUCUCGGGUUGGCGAAUAUACUUGAGGUGGCUUGCAAGCAAGAAGAGAAGUGAGGUCGGUAACCUAAAUGUGGCCGUUCUGACUCUUAAGCGAGUGAUUGCUUAAGACCUCAGAAUAAUGACUGACAGAGAAUGAGAAAAAUGAAUUGCAUACCUUGAUAGGUGUUCAGGACCUAUUUAUAAGGCAAAGAAAAGUGCCUUUGCGCAAUCUAUGGGAUGUUGCUAAUUCAUAUCCAGCUGUACCCUUCCAUAUGUUACGGAAAUGCAACAUACUACACCAACGAUAUUCUCGGCAUCAAUCUAGAUUCCGAUGGCCUUUGUCAAAACUCUGAGUUAAAUUUAUUCGAACUCAAUUCGAACUAGAUUUCUCACAGUGUUGUCCGCACUUCUUAUGUUCGGUGUUUUUCGCACUCCUUGCGUUCGGUCUGCUCAAGUAAUAGAUCCAAACCUCUUAUGAUUGGAUCAGAUCUAGGGGAUCCAAAUCCUUUAAAAUUGAUUCGGAUUUUGGGCUGUACUAUAUCAAGUAUUUAUCAAUAUUUAUUUAUUUUUUUUCACCAUCAUCCAUUUUGGUGGUUCUUAGACUAAUAGUAUAGUUUCUAUAUGGAAUAAGGUUCAAAUUGCCCCUGUACUUGUUGGGGAGGUCUCACUGUACUUGUUGGAGAGGUUCAAUUUAGCCCAUUUUAAACUUUUGGUCCAAUUUAACCCAUAAGUUUUUAUUUAUGCUCAAAUUAGUC